UGUAAAUAAAAUAAAUAUAAAAAUAAAUUAAAUAAAAAUUCUAGUUUUUCAAUAUCUGAAAAUUAUCAUAUACAAAAUAUUUAAUCUGAAAAUUACAGACAUGUUACAAGGAGCCACAAGUUAUCCUCAGGCCACAGCCCAAGGAUAAUAGUUAUAACUUGCUCAAAAAAAAUUUCAACUACUGUUUUAAAAGACAAGAUUGUGAUUGCAAUAGCAUCUGUUAUGUAAGACAUACUCAAAAAUGUAUGGGGAGAGAUUGAAUAUCAUUUAGACAUACUCUGAGCAACAAAAAGUCUUGUGGAAAUUAUGUAACAUGAAGAUAAACUUUUGAGUUAUUGUGCAAAUGCACAAAAAUGUAAUCAUUUAUCAUGUUUUAUUCAAGAGAUAUUACAUUUUCUUUUCCAAAAGAUCUUUUGCGGGCACCCUGUAUACUGGAAUCCCCAAUUUCUGUCAUUUCAGGUUAUGUUGUUUUGCACUUAUGUUUUCUUAUACCAAAUUUAUUAAUCAAAAUCAGAAAAUUCAUCUCUACAUUUUGUUAUGUUGCUGUUUUCUUGUCAGUAAAUUGGUAUCUAAGUCCAUAUUGCAACAAGCUGCUUCAUUACUUCUGCAGCAAAUUCCAAACUAUCAGGCGCUGAGCAGCAGGUAG
rnacentral:lncRNA from 1 species